UAAUUGUUAGAAAAAUUUAGAAUGCAUUUAAAGCCCUCUCUCAUUACGGCUAACAAUAUCCUCGAACAAUAUCCUCCGUUCUAUCUCUGCUAUCUCUUCCGCCCUUAAUCAGUAACGCUCAAUUUCUAACUCGUAAUUUGCGCGUGUGUACACGGUCGAAAGGAAGAAGGUAAAGCGUCGGCGGGAAAGUGAAAAGGAAGCGAAGGGGAAACCAAUUACUCGGCCAACGAUUAGUUCUCUAAAACACACCACCGUCUUUAUCGAC